CACGUAGGGUGCGAGCGUUGUCCGGAUUUACUGGGCGUAAAGAGCGCGCAGGCGGUCGUUCAAGUCGCGUGUGAAAGCCCCCGGCUCAACUGGGGAGGGUCACGCGAUACUGAUCGACUCGAAGGCAGGAGAGGGAAGUGGAAUUCCCGGUGUAGUGGUGAAAUGCGUAGAUAUCGGGAGGAACACCAGUGGCGAAGGCGACUUCCUGGCCUGUUCUUGACGCUGAGGCGCGAAAGCUAGGGGAGCAAACGGG
rnacentral:rRNA from 1 species